rnacentral:rRNA from 1 species
AACGAACGCUGGCGGCAUGCCUAACACAUGCAAGUCGAACGCCAUGGUUUCGGCCAUGGAGUGGCGCACGGGUGAGUAACGCGUGGGAACCUGCCUAGCAGUAUGGGACAACCGCGGGAAACUGCGGCUAAUACCGUAUACGCCCGUCUUUGGGAGACCAGGGGCGGGGAAAGAUUGAUCGCUGUUAGAGGGGCCCGCGUCGGAUUAGGUAGUUGGUGGGGUAAAGGCCUACCAAGCCUGCGAUCCGUAGCUGGUCUGAGAGGAUGAUCAGCCACACUGGGACUGAGACACGGCCCAGACUCCUACGGGAGGCAGCAGUGGGGAAUAUUGGACAAUGGGCGCAAGCCUGAUCCAGCAAUGCCGCGUGAGUGAUGAAGGCCUUAGGGUUGUAAAGCUCUUUCACACGCGACGAUGAUGACGGUAGCGUGAGAAGAAGCCCCGGCUAACUCCGUGCCAGCAGCCGCCGUAAUAC